GACGAACGCUGGCGGCGUGCCUAAUACAUGCAAGUCGAGCGGAACUGGGGGAGCUUGCUCCUUCCAGUUUAGCGGCGGACGGGUGAGUAACACGUGGGCAACCUGCCCUGCAGAUCGGGAUAACUCCGGGAAACCGGUGCUAAUACCGAAUAGUUUGGCGCCUCUCCUGAGGCGCUACGGAAAGACGGUUUCGGCUGUCACUGCAGGAUGGGCCCGCGGCGCAUUAGCUAGUUGGUGGGGUAACGGCCCACCAAGGCGACGAUGCGUAGCCGACCUGAGAGGGUGACCGGCCACACGGGGACUGAGACACGGCCCAGACUCCUACGGGGUGCGGCAGUAGGGAAUCUUCCGCAAUGGACGCAAGUCUGACGGAGCAACGCCGCGUGAGUGACGAAGGUUUUCGGAUCGUAAAACUCUGUUGUGAGGGAAGAACACGUACCAACUAACUAUUGGUACCUUGACGGUACCUCACCAGAAAGCCACGGCUAACUACGUGCCAGCCGCCGCCGUAA
rnacentral:rRNA from 1 species